rnacentral:lncRNA from 1 species
UUUGAGUAAGUGAAAUGAAGCGUGAAUAACUGCCUAAUUAGUGGACAUGAAAACUGGACAGUCUCCAAAGUCAUCAGAGAUGACCACGCUUGCCAGGCAACUUACUAGACUAAGGGUGAGUCCAUUUGUAAUCAUCCCAGCUGGGAGGUGGCUGGGAGGUUUGACCUAGGGCUCAGAAGACUGGCUAACCUGGAUAAAGCCAUUCAAGACAAUCAGGUGACGUGCCCAUCAUGCAGGAAGCUUCUCCAAGGCUGGCGAGAGCAACUUGUCUGCUUUGAGAAAUGCAGAUCUAUCAGGAUCCAGAAUCGGACUCUGAAAAAGCUGUCAUUUCAUGUCUCUAAAACAGCCUUUGAUUUAAUGUACAAGAUGUCAAGAAGUAAAGGACAAUAAAAUAAAAACCAAAAAAGGAGAACUAUUUCAAUUAAGAAGCAUUCCUAUAUCAAUUCUUGGAAAUCACAUAAAAUAAAAGCUGUCAGAAUCA